rnacentral:rRNA from 1 species
GGGUGACGAGCGGCGGACGGGUGAGUAAUGUCUGGGAAACUGCCUGAUGGAGGGGGAUAACUACUGGAAACGGUAGCUAAUACCGCAUAACGUCGCAAGACCAAAGAGGGGGACCUUCGGGCCUCUUGCCAUCAGAUGUGCCCAGAUGGGAUUAGCUAGUAGGUGGGGUAACGGCUCACCUAGGCGACAAUCCCUAGCUGGUCUGAGAGGAUGACCAGCCACACUGGAACUGAGACACGGUCCAGACUCCUACGGGAGGCAGCAGUGGGGAAUAUUGCACAAUGGGCGCAAGCCUGAUGCAGCCAUGCCGCGUGUAUGAAAAAGGCCUUCGGGUUGUAAAGUACUUUCAGCGGGGAGGAAGGCGAUAAGGUUAAUAACCUUGUCGAUUGACGUUACCCGCAGAAAAAACACCGGCUAACUCCGUGCCAGCAGCCGCGGUAAUACGGAGGGUGCAAGCGUUAAUCGGAAUUACUGGGCGUAAAGCGCACGCAGGCGGUCUGUCAAGUCGGAU